GGUUAAGCGACUAAGCGUACACGGUGGAUGCCCUGGCAGUCAGAGGCGAUGAAGGGCGUGCUAAUCUGCGAUAAGCGCCGGUAAGGUGAUAUGAACCGUUAUAACCGGCGAUACCCGAAUGGGGAAACCCAGUGUGACUCGUCACACUAUCAUUAACUGAAUCCAUAGGUUAAUGAGGCGAACCGGGGGAACUGAAACAUCUAAGUACCCCGAGGAAAAGAAAUCAACCGAGAUUCCCCCAGUAGCGGCGAGCGAACGGGGAGGAGCCCAGAGCCUGAAUCAGCAUGUGUGUUAGUGGAAGCGUCUGGAAAGGCGCGCGAUACAGGGUGACAGCCCCGUACACAAAAGCGCAUGUGUUGUGAGCUCGAUGAGUAGGGCGGGACACGUGGUAUCCUGUCUGA
rnacentral:rRNA from 1 species